AUUGAACGCUGGCGGCAUGCUUUACACAUGCAAGUCGGACGAGUGGCGAACGGGUGAGUAACAUAUCGGAACGUACCGAGUAAUGGGGGAUAACUAAUCGAAAGAUUAGCUAAUACCGCAUAUUAUUCGAGCGGCCGAUAUCUGAUUAGCUGGUUGGUGGGGUAAAGGACUACCAAGGCGACGAUCAGUAGCGGGUCUGAGAGGAUGAUCCGCCACCUUGGGACGGCGAAACGGCCCGGACCCCUACUGAGGGCAGAAGUGGGGAAUUUAGGACAAGGGGCGCAAGCCUGAUCCAGCCAUGCCGCGUGUCUGAAGAAGGCCUUCGGGUUGUAAAGGACUUUUGUCAGGGAAGCGGUACCUGAAGAGUAAGCACCGGCUAACUCCGUGCCAGCCGCCGCGGUAAUUC
rnacentral:rRNA from 1 species